UACGUAGGCAGCGAGCGUUGUUCGGAAUUACUGGGCGUAAAGAGUGCGUAGGUGGUUGAAUAAGUUACUGGUGGUAAAUCGGAGCCCAACCCCGUGGAAGUCAGUAAUACUAUUCAACUCGAGGACUGGAGAGGUUAACGGAAUUCUAUGUGUAGCGGUAAAAUGCUCAAAUAUAUAGAGGAACACCAAACGGCGAAGGCAGUUAACUAUUCGGUACCUGACAUUGAGGCACGAAAGCGUGGGGAGCAAGACGGG
rnacentral:rRNA from 1 species